AGAGGGAUAGCUGGGUCAAAUGGUGAUUCCAUUCCCAGAUUUCUAAGGAAUUUCUAUACUGCUUUCCAAAUUGGAUGCACCAAUUUGCAGUCCCAACAGAAAU
rnacentral:pre_miRNA from 1 species